AAAUUUGCACGUAGAACGCUGAAGAGAGGAGCUGUGCUCUUCUUGGAUGAGUUGCGAACGGGUGAGUAACGCGUAGGUAACCUGCCUUGUAGCGGGGGAUAACUAUUGGAAACGAUAGCUUAAUACCGCAUAACCAAUGGAUGACACAUGUCAUUUAUUUGAAAGGGGCAAUUGCUCCACUACCAAGAUGGACCUGCGUUGUAUUAGCUAGUAGGGGAGGUAACGGCUCACCUAGGCGACGAUACAUAGCCGACCUGAGAGGGGGAUCGGCCACACUGGGACUGAGACACGGCCCAGACUCCUACGGGAGGCAGCAGUAGGGAAUCUUCGGCAAUGGGGGCAACCCUGACCGAGCAACGCCGCGUGAGUGAAGAAGGUUUUCGGAUCGUAAAGCUCUGUUGUAAGUCAAGAACGAGUGUGAGAGUGGAAAGUUCACACUGUGACGGUAGCUUACCAGAAAGGGACGGCUAACUACGUGCCAGCAGCCGCGGUAAUACGUAGGUCCCGAGCGUUGUCCGGAUUUAUUGGGCGUAAAGCGAGCGCAGGCGGUUUGAUAAGUCUGAAGUUAAAGGCUGUGGCUCAACCAUAGUUCGCUUUGGAAACUGUCAAACUUGAGUGCAGAAGGGGAGAGUGGAAUUCCAUGUGUAGCGGUGAAAUGCGUAGAUAUAUGGAGGAACACCGGUGGCGAAAGCGGCUCUCUGGUCUGUAACUGACGCUGAGGCUCGAAAGCGUGGGGAGCGAACAGGAUUAGAUACCCUGGUAGUCCACGCCGUAAACGAUGAGUGCUAGGUGUUGGAUCCUUUCCGGGAUUCAGUGCCGCAGCUAACGCAUUAAGCACUCCGCCUGGGGAGUACGACCGCAAGGUUGAAACUCAAAGGAAUUGACGGGGGCCCGCACAAGCGGUGGAGCAUGUGGUUUAAUUCAAAGCAACGCGAAGAACCUUACCAGGUCUUGACAUCCCGAUGCUAUUUCUAGAGAUAGAAAGUUACUUCGGUACAUCGGUGACAGGUGGUGCAUGGUUGUCGUCAGCUCGUGUCCGUGAAAUGUUGGGGUUAAGUCCCGCAACGAGCGCAACCCCCUAUGGUUAGACUUGCCAUCAUUCAGUUGGGCACUCUAGCGAGACUGCCGGUAAUAAACCGGAGGAAGGUGGGGAUGACGUCAAAUCAUCAUGCCCCUUAUGACCUGGGCUACACACGUGCUACAAUGGUUGGUACAACGAGUUGCGAGUCGGUGACGGCAAGCUAAUCUCUUAAAGCCAAUCUCAGUUCGGAUUGUAGGCUGCAACUCGCCUACAUGAAGUCGGAAUCGCUAGUAAUCGCGGAUCAGCACGCCGCGGUGAAUACGUUCCCGGGCCUUGUACACACCGCCCGUCACACCACGAGAGUUUGUAACACCCGAAGUCGGUGAGGUAACCUUUGGAGCCACGUACCUGUAGAG
rnacentral:rRNA from 1 species